CUAAAUUCAUCCUUCAAAUUGUGAAAUUAAAUGGAUCAGUAAAAGUCUAAUUAAAUUGGAGGUUGCUUGGAUUCUACAGCAUUUCUGAAGAUUCUAAUGAUCUAACGGACUAGAGUUGGAGAUUCAAAAAGAAAUCUUUCAAACAAUUUUCUUGGGAAACUUGAAUUGUUAGUUCCGAGUUCAUAAAUUAACCGAGAGAUGGCGCGCACCGCUCCACUUUAGCAACAAAUUCGUAGCUCUGAAUUUGAGUCGAAAAAAUUGGCGAUAUCUUGAUUUUUUCGAUAUAAGGAUCGAGUUGAUCGACAGAUUCGGGUUCCCGAGCUCAAAAUACUUCAGACUUCAGUAAAAUAGUGCGAGAAAGAAAAAAAUCCGCAAAAAUCUUAACCUUGGUCGGUAUCGUAGUCGCCUCGUGUGACAUUUACCGGCGACUUUGUUGCUCGCACUUUGACGUUCGUUUGUUUUGUUGUUACGUCAUCGAUACACCGGGUGUCCGUAAUACCCAGCAAAAUACUCGCAGGGUUUCGAGCGACUUUUUCGCUCACGAUCCAGCCGAGUUUGCGGCCCGAAAUAAAUCGCUGCAAAUCCAAGAACCGAACGCAUUAGUUUUUACAAAACUCUUGAGACUUCGCGGAGGUUCGGCUGAUCCCCGAAAUCACCUGAAAUGUUGAUAUUGGACAUUAUUCACGCGGAACAAAGCGUCCCUUCCGCUUAUUAUUGUUAUAGUUGAUCCCCUGAAAAAUAUUUUUGGCAUAUUCGCUGAUCUGCUUUAAGCCUCGAGGUUUAGCAGUAAGCGACGAGCCCCC
rnacentral:misc_RNA from 1 species